CACAGUUUAGUCCACAUGUGUUUGCAAACUUAGCCCAAUAAAAAAAAAACUGAAUGCCGACCUGGAAUUAGUCUACGACUCAAUAGCCGUGGAAUCCAUCCCGGCCACGGUCGGAGGAAGUGACUCCGCCGCGGGCCGCCAUCUUCGUCGGUGAUCUUUUCUCCUCAAGUCAACAAUCAAGGCAACGAUCUACCACAAAACUUUGUUGAUCUACCAGAUGGCGAUCAAGACAACGAUCAAGAAAAUGUACAAGGCAAUAAUCUUAGAGAUGCAAUAGCACAAGAAACGUGGAAUGAUUACCAACAACAUAAAAAUUAGUGGUACAUUUGUUGAGCUAUUUGUUCGUAGAAACUGUCUUUGUUUAUUGUUGCUUCCUAAUGAAAAACAUGUUACAGAUGAGCUUACUUUGAAGAUAUGGUUCCCUGUAACCACUAUGCCUCCUAAUUAUGUCAUGUUGCUGUUUAUGUCAUAUAUGUUGCUUCCUAAUUAGUGGUACAUUUGUUGUGGUAUUGUUGCUUCCUAA